rnacentral:rRNA from 1 species
GUAGUCUGCAACUCGACUACAUGAAGCUGGAAUCGCUAGUAAUCGCGGAUCAGAAUGCCGCGGUGAAUACGUUCCCGGGUCUUGUACACACCGCCCGUCACACCAUGGGAGUCGAUAACGCCCGAAGUCAGUGACCCAACCUGUAAGGAGGGAGCUGCCGAAGGCGGGAUUGAUAACUGGGGUGAAGUCGUAACAAGGUAAC